rnacentral:rRNA from 1 species
UACCUCAUAUGCUUGUCUCAAAGAUUAAGCCAUGCAUGUCUCAGUACAAGCCAUAUUAAGGUGAAACCGCGAAAGGCUCAUUAUAUCAGUUAUGGUUCCUUAGAUCGUACACACAUUUACUUGGAUAACUGUGGUAAUUCUAGAGCUAAUACAUGCAAACAGAAUUCCAACCAGAGAUGGAAGGAAUGCUUUUAUUAGAUCAAAACCAAUCGAUAUUUGCAUGUCUGUCAAUUUAUUGGUAGGCAUGUUUUACAGUAUCGUUUAUUUUGGUGACUCUGAAUAACUUUAAGCUGAUCGCACGGUCAUGUACCGGCGACGCAUCUUUCAAAUGUCUGCCUUAUCAACUGUCGAUGGUAGGUUUUGCGCCUACCAUGGUUGUAACGGGUAACGGGGAAUCAGGGUUCGAUUCCGGAGAGGGAGCCUGAGAAACGGCUACCACAUCCAAGGAAGGCAGCAGGCGCGCAAAUUACCCACUCCCGGCACGGGGAGGUAGUGACGAAAAAUAACGAUACGGGACUCAUCCGAGGCCCCGUAAUCGGAAUGAGUACACUUUAAAUCCUUUAACGAGGACCAAUUGGAGGGCAAGUCUGGUGCCAGCAGCCGCGGUAAUUCCAGCUCCAAUAGCGUAUAUUAAAGUUGUUGCGGUUAAAAAGCUCGUAGUCGAAUUUGUGUCCCACACUGUCGGUUCACCGCUCGCGGUGCUAACUGGCAUGUUAUGUGGGACGUCCUACCGGUGGGUGGUGUGCAGUAUGCGUAUUUAGUGUUGUCUUGAUCUCACUUGUAUGUGUGCUGCACCGGUAAGUGCUUAGCCGUGAAGAACGGCGGCAGCCCCCAAUUACAAUCCCGUCGCGGUCCUCUUAAUUGAGUGUCGAGGUGGGCCGGUACGUUUACUUUGAACAAAUUAGAGUGCUUAAAGCAGGCUAAAAUUUUGCCUAAAUAUUGUGUGCAUGGAAUAAUGGAAUAGGACCUCGGUUCUAUUUUGUUGGUUUUCGGAACUCCGAGGUAAUGAUUAAUACGGACAGAUGGGGGCAUUCGUAUUGCGACGUUAGAGGUGAAAUUCUUGGAUCGUCGCAAGACGGACAGAAGCGAAAGCAUUUGCCAAAAAUGUUUUGAUUGAUCAAGAACGAAAGUUAGAGGUUCGAAGGCGAUCAGAUACCGCCCUAGUUCUAACCAUAAACGAUGCCAGCUAGCGAUCCGCCGAAGUUCCUCCGAUGACUCGGCGGGCAGCUUCCGGGAAACCAAAGCGUUUGGGUUCCGGGGGAAGUAUGGUUGCAAAGCUGAAACUUAAAGGAAUUGACGGAAGGGCACCACCAGGAGUGGAGCCUGCGGCUUAAUUUGACUCAACACGGGAAACCUCACCAGGCCCAGACACCGGAAGGAUUGACAGAUUGAGAGCUCUUUCUUGAUUCGGUGGGUGGUGGUGCAUGGCCGUUCUUAGUUGGUGGAGCGAUUUGUCUGGUUAAUUCCGAUAACGAACGAGACUCUAGCCUGCUAAAUAGACGUACUUAACCGGCAUCUCAAGGCCCAUCGGCUGUUUGUUUCGUUUUGUCAUUGUCAGUAUAUUUCAGAUCUUUUGUGUUCACUUUAGCAUGUAUGCCUCUGCAAAUGUUGCCUCGGUGGCUUUGUAGUUGUGUAUGUGUGGUGGCGCAUUGUAUGUUUAUACGGGUGCAAUCGGACUGCAGUUUUUUGAUGUGGUUUUUACUGCCGGCGUACACAUAAUUCUUCUUAGAGGGACAGGCGGCUCUAGCCGCACGAGAUUGAGCAAUAACAGGUCUGUGAUGCCCUUAGAUGUUCUGGGCCGCACGCGCGCUACACUGAAGGAAUCAGCGUGUCCUCCCUGGCCGAAAGGUCCGGGUAACCCGCUGAACCUCCUUCGUGCUAGGGAUUGGGGCUUGCAAUUGUUCCCCAUGAACGAGGAAUUCCCAGUAAGCGCGAGUCAUAAGCUCGCGUUGAUUACGUCCCUGCCCUUUGUACACACCGCCCGUCGCUACUACCGAUUGAAUGAUUUAGUGAGGUCUUCGGACUGGUACGCGGGAACGUUUCUGACAUUGCCGAUGUUGCUGGGAAGAUGACCAAACUUGAUCAUUUAGAGGAAGUAAAAGUCGUAACAAGGUUUC